AACCUUCCUCAGGGUCGCACCUGGAGAGUUUCCAGUACUCUACCAGUCUCGACUAUGGAAGGGAGAGCCAAGCGGAGACAUACACCCGUUCCGUUCCUAGCUUGGGCAGUGGCUAGCCAGUGGAAGGCAAUCUGCUACAAGU